GAUGAACGCUGGCGGCGUGCCUAAUACAUGCGAGUCGAGCGAACGGACGAGAAGCUUGCUUUUCUGAUGUUAGCGGCGGACGGGUGAGUAACACGUGGAUAACCUACCUAUAAGACUGGGAUAACUUCGGGAAACCGGAGCUAAUACCGGAUAAUAUUUUGAACCGCAUGGUUCAAAAGUGAAAGACGGUCUUGCUGUCACUUAUAGAUGGAUCCGCGCUGCAUUAGCUAGUUGGUAAGGUAACGGCUUACCAAGGCAACGAUGCAUAGCCGACCUGAGAGGGUGAUCGGCCACACUAGCACUGAGACACGGUCCAGACUCCUACGGGAGGCAGCAGUAGGGAAUCUUCCGCAAUGGGCGAAAGCCUGACGGAGCAACGCCGCGUGAGUGAUGAAGUUCUUCGGAUCGUAAAACUCUGUUAUUAGGGAAGAACAUAUGUGUAAGUAACUGUGCACAUCUUGACGGUACCUAAUCAGAAAGCCACGGCUAACUACGUG
rnacentral:rRNA from 1 species